AACUCCACUCUUUGUGUGGUUUAGAUAUUUUGUGACAGGUCCAGGUUUUGUUUUACUUGUCUUUAGGUCUUAAUUUGCAUAUACUUAAAAAGGGAAAGGUAGAAGGGGAAGGUUGUCAGCCACGUGCUUUGUUUUAUUUUCAUAGGUAAAUUAACCCCAUUUUCAAACUACUGCGCAUGUGACGUUGCAGGCUUCGUAUAAAGUAUAAAGACCCUUUUGUCAUUCAGGUAUCUUUUCCUGCACAUAAAUGUGUUCAGGACUUCAUUCAGUCGUAGCAAGACUAGACAUUAUCAGAGCGUCAAUGCUCGCAUGAUAUUUGGCAACUUUGAUACAGGAGUGGGAGGACUGGCUCGACCGGAGAACUGCGGUGAACCUGAUAGUAAUGAUAUGAAGCAAGAGGAGUGCCUCCUGUUCUGUCACAGGCUGCACCAGCGAUGUUUUAAAAAACAUUUGUUUGCCCUUGAAGCGUUAAUUCAUGAUCACCGUGUGCAAGAGGAAGGAGUAUUCUGCAUUUUACAGUCUACGCAGUGGAGAGGAGGUCGUACGGCUCAGGUUCUGCCUGGUAACACCUGAAGUUGCUCAUUGAACUCCUGGAUCCUAAUCCUGUAAUCUUCAUGGAUGUCUUUAUGUCAGCUUGUAUAUGAUGUGAUUUUGUUGGUAUGUUCUGUAUCUAAUGCAUGUCUGUCCGUCCUGUGAGAGGUAUCCCUCCUCUGUGGCUCUUCUCUGAGGUUUCUUACAUUUGUUUCCCUGUAAAAAGUUAUUUUGGGGAGUUUUUCUUCACCCAAAUCGAGGGUUAAUCACAUUAUGUUGUGAUUUUGUGCUAUAUAAAUAAAAUCUGACUUGAAUUGACGCUGUUACAUCGGAAACUCAUGAAUGUCUGAACCAAAUUUCAAAACAAUCUCAUAGUUGUUGAGAUAUUUUACUCAAAACCACGAAUGUCAACCUCGUGGUGGUGCUAGAGGAUGAAUCAGGGUCUCGCCAAAGUCUGCAGGGUCCAUCCUCUGGAGACCACGAGCGGCUGUACACAAUGUCAUGGCGAUCCAAGUGACAGCUGUUGAGAUAUUCGAGUCUGGACCAAAGCGUCGGACCAACUGACCAACAAUGCCACCCACUCACAUGUACACCAAACGUCUGUGUCUGUGUGUGUGUGUGUGUGUGUGUGUGUGCGCCUGUAGGCCGCCACAGUGCCCCAACCACAGCUCGGCUCAUGAAGACGUGUCCUCUAAUGAUCUGAUGGCAGAAAGUAAAGCGAAGUACAACAGCUGUGCUCUUAUUUGAGGCCCUAACUAGAGGGGUAUGAGUGUGUGUCAGUGUAUGAGUGUGUGAGUGUGUGAAUAUGUGUGUGUGAAAGGGAGAAUGUGAUUCAACAGUCAGUCGCUGGCAGCAUGUUUGAGAUGAGUCAUCGGGUAUGAGUGGUGGUUAUAGCAACAGGAGAGAUCUGAACAUUUUAACUACAGACUGAGAGAAAAGCUGUUGUUUGUUGGUACAGAUAGAGAAGAUAUAGAUAUAGAUAUAGAGAUGUUAUUUUUCUAUAUGUAUGAGGUUCUUAAUCUUCUGUCUUUAAAUGCCAGGAGGAAAUUUCACUGGUUCAUAUUCAUAAAUGCAUGAUGUAGUUUUUGUAACCAUGUACCUCAUGUGUAUUUAUUAAGGCACUAAAGCACACAAAACAUGUUUUAAGGCCCCUUUAUUGUACUGAUUUACCUUUAAAUAUUAAACUAAGUUUGUUGUUUUUAUUCA